CUAUCACUCCCAGUACUAGCCGCAGCCAUCACCAUACUACUAACAGACCGAAACCUAAACACCACCUUCUUUGACCCAAAUGGAGGAGGAGACCCAAUCCUAUUCCAACACUUAUUCUGAUUCUUUGGCCACCCGGAAGUCUACAUUCUUAUCCUACCCGGAUUUGGAAUAAUCUCACACAUUGUUACCCAUCACUCCAGCAAAAAAGAACCCUUCGGCUAUAUAAGCAUAGUUUGAGCACAUCACAUGUUCACAGUAGGACUAGACGUCGACACCCGUGCCUACUUCUCAGCAGCCACCAUAACCAUUAUAUUAUCAAUUAUAUCCCUAGUCAGCGCUCUCACCAUAAUCGUAAUUUUAUGAGAAGCAUUC
rnacentral:lncRNA from 1 species